UCUUUAGCGAGGCCGGGCUGGACCUGGGCUGCCUGCUGCCGUGUGGCUGGGCUGGGCUGAGCUCGGCUCGGCUGAGUUGAGCUGAGCUGAGCUUAGCUGGGCUGAGUUGAACUGGGUGGCGUGGGGGUUCCGCCUCGCCGUGCGCCCGUAGGAUGAGCCGGCCCUUUGCUGGGGGCUGGGGCGAGGAGGUGUGGCCGCCACCGUGGGUCACUGUCUGCGACGGGGCUGCCCCUCCAGAAACCGGUGCGGCUUUGUGUGAUGUGAAAGUACUCAACACCAAGGAAUUUUAAAUGUUAAUUAUAAGCUACUGAGUUAUUUUAAUUCUUCACGUGUAAAUCCUUGCAUAUUUUGAAGCAUUCAUGAAAUGGGAAUAGUCUUUACCUGUUGUGUUCUCUUCCUCCUGCCUGUGAAGAGGAGCACCAGGAGAGGUACAGGCGCUGUCUCUGCUGCUGGAGAAGAGUGUCAGGAGGAAGAUGUCGCCUCUCCCUGUGGUGCCACAGGCGGUCGGAGGGGAGAAGCCUGCUCCUGGGACGGGGAGGGCUCGUUGCCCUGCGGCGCUGGGGCGCCCCGUGUUCGGCCACGCGCGAGUCCCAUCGCAGCGCGGUUGGGCAGCCGUAUGGCGUGGCCCGUCACACCCACCGCGCCACGCAGGAGAGACACGGCGCUCAUCUGGAGAAAUUUCACUUCGCUGGCAGCUUACCACUGUGGAAGGAGCAUCUGUCAGGCGUCACAUUAAUGUGGUUUAAUAACGUUCUUUCUGAGCUUGGCUCGAUACCACUUGAAAUACGAAAGGCGUUUCACACAUUUGAAGCCAUAUAAAUCUGUGUGUGUGUACAUAACGCAUCUGAAGCUAUCAGGUUAAUUAAAGCACCGAGCUUCAUGCUGCGACACAGAUACGCACGUGUGUUCCGUGUUCGUGAGCUCUCCGGGCUGCGCCCCAUCCAGGAAUCACGAAACCCGUUGCCUGUUGUGGGCUUUGGAGCAGGUUUCGCAUCCAUCCACGUCAAGUGUCAGAAGCGGCCCCGUCCUCUGGAUCCUUCGGAUACGCUGUGGCUUACCUGGUGCUGCAGCGCCGGUCAUUGAGAUACUCGGCGCCGCUCUUUGGGACCGUACGUCGCGAUACAGUGGAGAGCUGGAAACAGGCUCCGCAGUGCACGCCUGUGGCUGCUGUACAAAACUUGGACAACGUUAAUUUUAAACGCUAUAGAACAACAGAGAUUUUUAAAAAACAGGAUUUGGAUCAUCUGAUACGAUUGAAUUGAAACAUGGCGUUACCAUCUCCGCUCUCAGCCCUUAAGGCAGGAGGAAUGUCGGAAGGACCUGAAAAACCUCGGUGCCUCCCGCAGGGGAGCUGCCGCGAAGAAGGAAUUUCAGUGGCCGUUUGCCUUGCUGGCCAUUCGGGGUCCUGCUGCAAGGACCCAGGGACAAGAGCUUACUUUACCAACAGCGAUGUUCAAAAUGUGAUGUUUCACAGUUGUGCGGAGGUACUGUUGGUCUUCAAGAUGUUGAGCAAAGUCAGUGGAAGUAAGGUACCCCACUGCACAGAAGUUCACGCCCAAGUGGGAAUGCCCUCAGCAAAGUGGGGGAGCCGGGAGGAGGAGGAGAGCUGUGCAUCGGAACUGACUUGUGACGAAUCAGCACAUUUGUCUUGGACGCCAUCCUGACCUUCAAAAUUCAGGGGAGAGCGAUCAGUCCUGCAAGAGUGGUAGCUUAACUUAGAAGAAGUGGUCACAAAUAGACACUCAUCACUUGCUAGAAAAUACCACGCUGCUUGCAAAUGGAACGGGAGAAAACCUCUGCAUCUCGGAGGCUCUGACAGGCUGAAACUGCAAGUGGAACAGCCUUCUCUUGGAAAUCCUGGGGAUUGUUUUUGCCUUAGCAUCGUUGGAUCAUUUCUUGUAUGCUAAUCAGCGGCUUUGCUGGCUCUGGACAGGCUCCAGCUCUCCAAGGGGCCGUGGACGGAGUUUCUGGAUGUUGCCGGGGGCGGAUGGUGGACAGGUCUGCGGUUGUGUGCCUGCAGUAAAAUGGUAAAACCCGUCCUUCUGCUUCAGCCUGCUCUCUUUCUCAGGCCAGCAAAUUUCAUACUUAUUAUAGGCUGCUUAAGGCACUCUAGGACGAGCCCUUUCUUUUCAGGUAUUUUUACGUGUAGAUUCCCUCUGUGCCUGGACAGCUCUUUUUUGUGUGUUUGGCAAUCACUGGUUCAAAUUAAAACUAUUCACUACGAUGCCUUAUUAAGAUUCCUGCCCUUUCAAAACAGCAUCCCUGUUUGAAUGUUUGGGUUGCUUUAGAUUCCUCUCUAAAUACCAUUCAUUAUCUAGAAGAUCUGCAGGCGUAUAUAUAAGUAUAUGGAGUAUGCAGAGGUACAUGGAAAUAUAUGUGCAUUUACGCCAGGUACUAGGAAUAAACAGGGUGGCCACCUGUUUAGCAUUCAAGUUCAUCUAUCUAAACUACCAUUUUCAUUUGUACUGUGGUUGUGACAUAUAAAUCAAUGCCCACCAAAUAAAAUUGCUUUGUCUAA